GUACAGCGGCGAACGGGUGAGUAACACGUAGGUAACCUACCCUGGAGACUGGGAUAACCUGCCGAAAGGCGGGCUAAUACCAGAUAAGACCACGAGGGCUGCGGCUCUUGAGGAAAAAGAUGGCCUAUGCUUGCAAGCUAUCACUCCGGGAUGGGCCUGCGCGCCAUUAGCUAGUUGGUGAGGUAACGGCUCACCAAGGCUGAGAUGGCUAGCUGGUCUGAGAGGAUGGCCAGCCACACUGGGACUGAGACACGGCCCAGACUCCUACGGGAGGCAGCAGUGGGGAAUAUUGCGCAAUGGGCGAAAGCCUGACGCAGCGACGCCGCGUGGGUGAUGAAGGCCUUCGGGUCGUAAAGCCCUGUCAAGAGGGACGAAACCUCGUCGACCUAAUACCUCAGCGACCUGACGGUACCUCUGAAGGAAGCACCGGCUAACUCCGUGCCAGCAGCCGCGGUAAUACGGAGGGUGCAAGCGUUGUUCGGAAUCACUGGGCGUAAAGCGCGUGUAGGCGGCCUCCUCAGUCUGGUGUGAAAGCCCGGGGCUCAACCCCGGAAGUGCAUUGGAUACUGGGAGGCUGGAGUACCGGAGAGGAGGGUGGAAUUCCUGGUGUAGCGGUGAAAUGCGUAAAGAUG
rnacentral:rRNA from 1 species